GAUGAACGCUGGCGGCGUGCCUAAUACAUGCAAGUCGAGCGAAUGGAUUAAGAGCUUGCUCUUAUGAAGUUAGCGGCGGACGGGUGAGUAACACGUGGGUAACCUGCCCAUAAGACUAGGAUAACUCCGGGAAACCGGGGCUAAUACCGGAUCACAUUUUGAACCGCAUGGUUCGAAAUUGAAAGGCGGCUUCGGCUGUCACUUAUGUAUGGACCAGCGUCGCAUUAGCUAGUUGGUGAGGUAACGGCUCACCAAGGCAACGAUGCGUAGCCGACCUGAGAGGGUGAUCGGCCACACUGGGACUGAGACACGGCCCAGACUCCUACGGGAGGCAGCAGUAGGGAAUCUUCCGCAAUGGACGAAAGUCUGACGGAGCAACGCCGCGUGAGUGAUGAAGGCUUUCGGGUCGUAAAACUCUGUUGUUAGGGAAGAACAAGUGCUAGUUGAAUAAGCUGGCACCUUGACGGUACCUAACCAGAAAGCCACGGCUAACUACGUGCCAGCAGCCGCCGCCG
rnacentral:rRNA from 1 species